rnacentral:rRNA from 1 species
GCACGCAAGUGUGAUAAGGGAAUUCUCAGUGCUCAUGCAUUGCAUGGGCUUUUGCCAUUGUUAAAACCAAUGGCGAAUAAGCGGUGGGAAAGACUGGUGCCAGCCGCCGCGGUAACACCAGCGCCGCUAGUGGGGAUCGCGAUUAUUGGGCCUAAAGCGUCCGUAGCCGGCUUUGUAAAUCUUUUGUGAAAUCGUCGGGCUUAACUCGACGACGUGCAGAAGAGACUGCAGAGCUUGAGACCGGGAGGGGCUAGAGGUAUUCUGUGGGGAGCGGUAAAAUGCUAUAAUCCACAGAGGACCACCGAUGGCGAAGGCAUUUAGCCAGAACGGAUCUGACGGUGAGGGACGAAAGCCAGGGGAGCAAACCGGAUUAGAUAUCGAGAAAUCUAACGAUUUCUGAACUUAGUAGUGCGUUUGAUAAAACUACUGCACGCUAAGCUCAGCGAAAUAAUAUGAGAUUUCACUCGACUAAGUACCCGAGUAGUCCUGGCCGUAAACGCUGUGAGCUAGGUGUUGCGCAAUCUACGGGAUUGCGCAGUGUCGAAAUGAAGAUGAUAAGCUCACCGCCUGGGAAGUACG